GAGGGAUUAGUUAAAUUGAUAUUACUAGAUUGUCAAUCUAGAGUUGCUACUUAGGUAUUAGUGUAGCAUUCCUUA
rnacentral:tRNA from 1 species